rnacentral:rRNA from 1 species
AGAAUCAACGCUGGCGGCGUGCCUAACACAUGCAAGUCGAACGCGAAAGUGGAGCAAUCCAUGAGUAGAGUGGCAAACGGGUGAGUAACGCGUGGGUGAUUUGCCUCAGGGUGGGGGAUAACCUUCCGAAAGGGGGGCUAAUACCGCAUGACAUAGCGCUUUUAGAUGAGCGUAUAUCAAAGCUGGAACCGCAAGGUCUGGCGCCUGGAGAGAAGCCCGCGUCCGAUUAGCUAGUUGGUGAGGUAAUGGCUCACCAAGGCGACGAUCGGUA